rnacentral:tRNA from 1 species
GGGCCUAUAGCUCAGUUGGUUAGAGCAGAGGACUCAUAAUCCUUUGGUCCACGGUUCUUAUGUGGUACGCACCUCGGUGUGGUAUUUGGACCAUAGGUUGGUGGUGUCACGAUUCAUUUGGGCCUC